UACGGAGGGUGCAAACGUUGCUCGGAAUCAUUGGGCGUAAAGCGCAUGUAGGCGGCCGUGUAAGUCGGAUGUGAAAGCCCUGGGCUCAACCCAGGAAGUGCAUUCGAAACUGCACGGCUUGAAUAUGGAAGGGGGUCGCGGAAUUCCCGGUGUAGAGGUGAAAUUCGUAGAUAUCGGGAGGAACACCAGUGGCGAAGGCGGCGACCUGGGCCAAUAUUGACGCUGAGGUGCGAAAGCGUGGGGAGCAAACAGG
rnacentral:rRNA from 1 species